rnacentral:piRNA from 1 species
UUCUUGGGAGAACAAGUGCUAGC